rnacentral:rRNA from 1 species
AUGGUGUCUACAAAGAAGCAUAAUUCUUAUCCUUUUGUCUAUCGGCUUUUAAAGCUAGUACUGACUCUUCCUGUUGCCACUGCAACUGUUGAGAGAUGCUUCUCGGCAAUGAAGCUUGUGAAGAAUGCUUUGCGUAAUAAGAUGGGUGAUGAUUAUUUGAGCAAUAGCCUUAUUGGCUUUGUGAAAAAAGAAAUGUUGGAUACUAUUCCUAAUGAGGUGAUAGUUAAACGCUUUCAUGCAAAAAAUCAUCGUGGAAUGAAACGGAAGGAGGUAAUGUGCUCAAGCUUUUAUUUUCAUCUAUCAAUGUUUACAUUCUCUCUAUGUUUAAAAAUGAUUUUUUUUCAUGCUGCUUGA